UACAGAGGUCCCGAGCGUUGUUCGGAUUCACUGGGCGUAAAGGGUGCGCAGGUGGCUUGGCAAGUUUGAUGUGAAAGCUCAGGGCUUAACCCUGAAAUGGCAUUGAAUACUGUUGAGCUGGAGGUUUGGAGGGGGGACUGGAAUUCCUGGUGUAGCGGUGAAAUGCGCAGAUAUCAGGAGGAACACCGGUGGCGAAGGCGGGUCUCUGGGCCGAUACUGACGCUGAGGAGCGAAAGCGUGGGGAGCGAACAGG
rnacentral:rRNA from 1 species